GCUGUAGCUCAGUGGUAGAGCACCUGCUUGGCAUGCAGAAGGUUCCCAGGUUCAGUCCCCAAUGGCAUCUCCA